GCCUAUUAGUGGGGGACAACAUUCCGAAAGGAAUGCUAAUACCGCAUACGCCCUACGGGGGAAAGCAGGGGAUCUUCGGACCUUGCGCUAAUAGAUGAGCCUAAGUCAGAUUAGCUAGUUGGUGGGGUAAAGGCCUACCAAGGCGACGAUCUGUAGCGGGUCUGAGAGGAUGAUCCGCCACACUGGGACUGAGACACGGCCCAGACUCCUACGGGAGGCAGCAGUGGGGAAUAUUGGACAAUGGGCGAAAGCCUGAUCCAGCCAUGCCGCGUGUGUGAAGAAGGCCUUUUGGUUGUAAAGCACUUUAAGCGAGGAGGAGGCUACUUGGAUUAAUACUCUAGGAUAGUGGACGUUACUCGCAGAAUAAGCACCGGCUAACUCUGUGCCAGCAGCCGCGGUAAUACAGAGGGUGCGAGCGUUAAUCGGAUUUACUGGGCGUAAAGCGUGCGUAGGCGGCUUUUUAAGUCGGAUGUGAAAUCCCUGAGCUUAACUUAGGAAUUGCAUUCGAUACUGGGAAGCUAGAGUAUGGGAGAGGAUGGUAGAAUUCCAGGUGUAGCGGU
rnacentral:rRNA from 1 species